ACGCUCGACACCUACGGGAGGCAGCAGUGAGGAAUAUUGGUCAAUGGACGCAAGUCUGGACCAGCCAUGCCGCGUGCAGGAUGACGGCUCUAUGAGUUGUAAACUGCUUUUGUACGAGGGUAAACGCAGAUACGUGUAUCUGUCUGAAAGUAUCGUACGAAUAAGGAUCGGCUAACUCCGUGCCAACAGCCGCGGUAAUCUGAGCGGGCUGGCAAGGC
rnacentral:rRNA from 1 species